GAUGCCCUUCACUACAUAUUAGAAAAAUGAGUACAUUACAUGAACAGGUUAUUCAUAGAAGAGGAAACACAAUGGGCCAAUAAGCAGAUAAGACUGUUGGGGGCCAGCCCGGUGGCACAGUGGUUAAGUUCACAUAUUCUGCUUCCGUGGCCCAGCAUUUGCUGGUUCGGAUUCCAGGUGCGGACCCGUGCACUGCUUAUCAAGCCAUGCUGUGGCAGGCAUCCCACAUAUAACAUAGAGGAAGAUGGGCACAAAUGUUAGCUCAGGCCCAAUCUUCCUCAGCAAAAAGAAGAGGAUUGGCAGCAGAUGUUAGCACAGGGCUAAUCUUCCUCAAAAGAAAAAAAAAAAGUGCUGAAACUCAUCAGUAAUCAGGGAAAUGCAAGUUUAAAUAAUGAGACAGUUUAACCAGAUUGGGAAAUUUUGAGAAUAUGGAGUGUUGGCAAGGGUAAGUGGAUAUCUCCAUGCUGUGCUGCUAGGAGUGUAAAAUGCUCCGGCCAUUUUGGGGUGCAACUUUGGAGUGUGAUUUAGCACAUUCUGAUUUGGGGUUAAGAGUGGCAGGUUGAAAAUAUUGGAGAGGUUGUGGAGAAAAAGGAACCCUCAUACACUGUUGGUGGGAAUGCAAACUGGUGCAGCCACUAUAGAAAACAGUAUGGAGAUUCCUCAAAAAAUUAAAAAUAGAAAUACCAUAUGACCCAGCUAUCCCACUGCUGGGUAUCUAUCCAAAGAACUUGAAAUCAGCAAUCCAAAGAGACCCAUGCACUCCUAUGUUCAUUGCAGCAUUAUUCACAAUAGCCGAGAUGUGGAAGCAACCUAAGUGCCCAUCAACUGAUGAUUGGAUAAAGAAGAUGUGGUAUAUAUAUACAAUGGAAUACUACUCAGUCAUAAAAAAGGAUAAAAAUUGUCCCAUCCACAACAACAUGGAUGGACCUUGAGGGUAUUAUGUUAAGGGAAAUAAGACAAAGAAAGACAAUCUCUGUAUGACUCCACUCAUAUGCAGAAGAUAAACAAACAUGUGGACAAAGAGAACAGAUUAGUAGUUACCAGGGUAAAGGGGAGUGGAGGGUGGGCACAAAGGGUGAAGUGGUGCACCUAUAAUAUGACUGACAAAUAAUAAUGUACAACUGAAAUUUUACAAGGUUGUAAACUAUCAUAACCUCGAUAAAAAAUAAAACAGAAAAAAAAAGUGGCAGGUUCAGCACACACCUUAACCUCUGCUCCUUUUUUUUUUUUUUGAGGAAGAUUAGCCCUGAGCUAACUGCUGCCAAUCCUCCUCUUUUUGCUGAGGAAGACUGGCCCUGAGCUAACAUCGAUGCUCAUCUUCCUCUACUUUACAUGUGGGACGCCUACCACAGCAUGGUCUUGGCAAGUGGUGCCAUGGCCGCACCUGGGAUCCAAACCAGCGAACCCGGGGCCACCGAGAAGCGGAACGUACAAACUUAACUGCUGUGCCACCAGGCGGGCCCCCUCUGCUCCUUUCAGAAACUCAGUAUAAGGACAGGAAAGGCAUUUUUUUCAAAUGGCUUAAACUCACAAGAACAGCAAGGAUGGUAAAGAAGAUAACAGCAUCAAUAUUUUGGACACUGAAAAGCUGAUAGAUGAAUGAAAACUGAUUUGGUAAACCCAAGAAAGCUGAAACAGGAAUGAUGAAAGCCAAGAAGCAAUCUUAUUAUGACACAAACCCCCCUACAAGGCUUAGAAACUGGCAGUGUCAGGUACCUCUAGGAGUUGGCGUGAAAGUCUUUCUGAUUCACAUUCUGUUUGCCACUUAGACCACCCAAGCCCUCCCUACCUCUACACGGCUAAGCAAUUUUGUCUACCUCAGGGAAGAUUGGAGGUUACCUGAGAUUUAACGUGAAGUUAAGUCAUCUUUAGCUCGGGGCCUAGCACUUGCAUGGGCCGCUUCCAAGGCCCUGGGAAGGGCCCAAGAAAUGUGUUCAAAUAGUCAUUUUGUUUGUUCUAAUUUGCAAAACUAAGUUAUUUUUUUUCUUUCUCUCAAAGUUCCCAAAUUGCGUAAGUUUCAGAUGCUGCAAAACUGGGAUCUGCUGCUGACUAGAGGAUUGUCAUGUGGGGAAGAUAAACCAGGAAACUCUAUUUGGAGGAAACCAGACCUUGUUAAGCUGAGGUCCUACACUGAAACGAGAGUGAUUUAACACAGGUUUAUGUACAGUGAAAGUUUGUAUACUAAAAGUUCACACGCCCAGCCUCCUCCAACCUAGCUCGAAGAACGCUGGCAGCUAGGAUUAUACUCUCCAGGCAGGAGAUUGGAAGAUCCUUUUCUUAGAAAUGUAACACCCAGGGCUAGCCCCAUGGCUGAGUGGUUAAGUUCUCACACUCCACUUCAGCGGCCCAGGGUUUUGCUGGUUCGGAUCCUGGGCGCGGACAUGGCACCGCUCAUCAGGCCAUGCUGAGGUGGCGUCCCACAUGUCACAACUAGGAGGAUCCAUAACUAAAAUGAACAACUAUGUACUGGGGGGAUUUGGGGAGAAAAAGCAAACAAACAAACAAAAGAUUGGCAACAGUUGUUAGCUCAGGUGCCAAUUUUUAAAGGAAAAAAACCCAAGGAAUUCUAACACCCGAAAGAUCUAAUAAUGUUGAAUCUGCGGUAUCAAAAGAAAGGGCUCAGUGAAAUCACUCUUCAAUACAGCCCACAAUUGCUGAGCCUCCCUUCCUCGCCACUCAGACAUACAACGCUGAAGUCUUCUCUUAAGUCUAAAUAUAUACACCAAAAGCCAGCAUUUUAUGGAAAAACAAGAAGAAUAAAUGUAAAUAAAUGGGAAAAACACUUAAAGCAAUGAGAGAAUUUAACAAAGUAAGAAGAUAUAAAAUUAACCUUAAAAAUCUAUAGUCUUCACCAAAGAAGAAAUAUAGAUGGCAAAGAAGCAUAUGGAAAGAUACUCCACAUCAUGUCAUCAGGGAAAUGCAAAUUGAAACAAUGGGAUACUACUACAUACCUAUUAGAAAGGCCAAAAUCCAGGACAUUGACAACACCAAAUGCCGAAGAUGUGGAGCCACAAGAACUCUCAUUCGUUGCUGAUGGGAAUUCAAAAUGGUAGAGCUAUUUUGGAAGAAGUUGGCAGGUUCUUAUAAAACUAAACAUACUCUUACCAUAUGAUCCAAUUGUGCUUCUUGGCAUUUACCCAAAUGAAUUAAACACUUACGUUCACACAAAAAUCGUCACAUGGAUGUUUAUAGGAGCUUUAUUCACAAUUGCCACAUCUUGAAAGCAACCAAGAUGUCCUUCAUUUGGUGAAUGGAUAAACUGGGUACACCUAGACAGUGGAAUAUUAUUCAGUGGCUAAAGAGAAAUGAGCUAUCAAGUCAUGAAAAGAUAUGGAGGAAAUAUAAAUGCAUAUUACUAAGUGGAAGAAGUCAAUCUGAAAAGGCUACAUACUGUAUGCUCCUUAAUUAUAUGGCAAAGGCAACUAUAGAGACAGUUGAUCUGUGGUGCCAGGGGUUGGGGUUGGGCACAGGGAUGAAUAGGUGGAGCACAGAGGAUUUUUAGAGAAGUGAAAAUACUCUCUGUAAUACUAUAAUACUAUACUCUCUAUCAUACUAUAAUACUAUAAUGAUGGAUACAAGUCAAUACACAUUUGUCCAAACCCAUAGAACAUAUAACACCAAGCUGAACCCUAAGGUAAACUACGUACUUUGGAUAAUUAUGAUGUCACUGUAGACUCAUCAACUGUAACAAAUGUACUGCUCUGAUGGGGGAUGUUGAUAAUGGGGAGGCUGUACAUAUAUAGGAGCAGAGGGUCUAUGGGAAAUCUCUAUACCUUUUGCUCAAUUUUGCUGUGAACAUAAAACUUCUCUAAAAAAAGUCUUAAAAAAAUCUAUAGUCUUCGUUUAUACAAACAAAAAUGAGUUCAAAGGUAUAAUUUAUAUGAUACAUGUGUACUUAAAUAAUUUUAAGUACCUAGGCAAAAA
rnacentral:lncRNA from 1 species